GUGGUGGCGAUAGCAAGAAGGAUACACCUGUUCCCAUGCCGAACACAGAAGUUAAGCUUCUUCACGCCGAGNGAGAGUAGUUGGUGGGAAACUGCCUGCGAGGGUAGGAAGCUGCCACG
rnacentral:rRNA from 1 species